rnacentral:snRNA from 1 species
AUAUUUAUCUGACGUAGGCAUCAUCGUUAUCAUGAAAGCGGUUCACUCGGAGUGAGGCUUGAUUAUUGCAUUGUCGAUUGACACGGCCUCCGCGAUUAUUUCUAUUCGCGGGUGUACAUUUUAAC